UCACCCCUACGGGGGGCAGCAGUGAGGAAUAUUGGUCAAUGGGCGGGAGCCUGAACCAGCCGAGCCGCGUGAGGGAAGAAGGUACAGCGUAUCGUAACCCUCUUUUGUCAGGGAACAAAGGCGGGGACUAGUCCCCGGAUGAGGGUACCUGAAGAAAAAGCAUCGGCUAACUCCGUGCCAGCAGCCGCGGUAAUACGGAGGAUGCGAGCGUUAUCCGGAUUUAUUGGGUUUAAAGGGUGCGCAUGCGGCCUGUUAAGUCAGCG
rnacentral:rRNA from 1 species